CAGUCGCCGCGGUAAUACGAAGGGUGCAAGCGUUAAUCGGAAUUACUGGGCGUAAAGCGUGCGUAGGCGGUUUGUUAAGUCUGUUGUGAAAUCCCCGGGCUCAACCUGGGAAUGGCAAUGGAUACUGGCAAGCUAGAGUGUGUCAGAGGAUGGUGGAAUUCCCGGUGUAGCGGUGAAAUGCGUAGAGAUCAGGAGGAACAUCAGUGGCGAAGGCGGCCAUCUGGGACAACACUGACGCUGAGGCACGAAAGCGUGGGGAGCAAACAGGAUUAGAUACCCGUGUAGUCCCUGUCUCUUAUAC
rnacentral:rRNA from 1 species